rnacentral:rRNA from 1 species
UAGGGAAUCUUCGGCAAUGGACGGAAGUCUGACCGAGCAACGCCGCGUGAGUGAAGAAGGUUUUCGGAUCGUAAAGCUCUGUUGUAAGAGAAGAACGAGUGUGAGAGUGGAAAGUUCACACUGUGACGGUAUCUUACCAGAAAGGGACGGCUAACUACGUGCCAGCAGCCGCGGUAAUACGUAGGUCCCGAGCGUUGUCCGGAUUUAUUGGGCGUAAAGCGAGCGCAGGCGGUUAGAUAAGUCUGAAGUUAAAGGCUGUGGCUUAACCAUAGUAGGCUUUGGAAACUGUUUAACUUGGGUGCAAGAGGGGAGAGUGGAAUUCCAUGUGUAGCGGUGAAAUGCGUAGAUAUAUGGAGGAACACCGGUGGCGAAAGCGGCUCUCUGGCUUGUAACUGACGCUGAGGCUCGAAAGCGUGGGGAGCAAACAGGAUUAGAUACCCUGGUAGUCCACGCUGUAAACGAUGAGUGCUAGGUGUUAGACCCUUUCCGGGGUUUAGUGCCGUAGCUAACGCAUUAAGCACUCCGCCUGGGGAGUACGACCGCAAGGUUG